CCAGCCCCGCCCCGACUGCAGUGUCUCGGCGCCGCACGCCCGCAUCGCCCUCAGUCUUGCUGAAUUGAGCGGGCCCCUACUGCGGCGGCAACAGCGGGUCUCGGACCGACCGUGAGCCUGGGGAGUUUGUCUCCAACGACUGCGGGUGCAGCGGCCUGAGUUCUAAACGCAGGUUGAAGACUACAGGUAAAAGCCAAUGAAGCUGAAAUGCCCUGACACUGGCCAAAUGCAAGACACCAAAAUAGUUUACUUCCAAUAUAUAACAAGAGAAUGGAUGCAGUUGUCUCCAGUCUGCUUUCAAUUUUGGUUAUAUACCAAGAAGCAGAGUUGCCGGAUAAUAUGGUAACUACUUUUUUGACCAGCAAACUUCCAUGGCAGCUACACCAUUUUACAUCCACCAGCAACGCACAGGGGUUCCAGUUUCUCCAGCUCCUCGCCAACACUUGUUAUUUUCUACCAAGUUUCACAGUGGUACAUGAAAAUUCAGGUGUCCUUCUAAGAAGGGGACAGAGAGAAAUUUGACUGCAGAACAGAAGAAAAAGACAAUGUGACAGCUGAAGCAAGAUGCUAUGCUGCUGGCUUUGAAGAUGGAGGGAGGGGCCUUGAGCCAACAUAUGCACGGAAUGGAGCUCUAGAAGCUGGGAGAGGCACAAAAAGAGUGUUCCCUAGAGCCUUCCAGAGGAGCGUGGCCCUGCAGACACCUUGAUGUUGGCCCAGUGAAACUGAUUUCCAACUCUGACCUCCAGAAAUGUAAGAUAAUAAAUGUGUGCUUUAAGCCAACAAGUUUGUGAAAUUUGUUACAGCAGCCAUAGGAAAUUAAUAUACUCAGUAGCACUAGCCUCAUUUCAAGAGCACACUUCUAGACAGUGCAGUUCUAGAAUCCUCUGCCUGGUGAGGAAGCAUAUCUCCUGGACAAUACAUCUUUCAGAAUUUAGAAACUCUGAAUAUUAAUAUGCUCCUGGCACCCAAGAUGAAUUUAUGAUACAAAUACUUUGCAUAGGAAAACCAAGCUAAGAAAGCUCAGCUGUCUUCUGCUCAAGCAGAUUAUCAGGACUAGUAAAUCAAGGCCUUUCUUUGUGAUCCAUCUCUUUCAAACAGUCAAGACAGUUUAUAAAUGGCCUCAUUUUUGUCAUGAAAGUUGAUACCAAAGAGACUUAUUUCACUUCAAUUCAUCUUUCUCUUUGGAACUCCAGAAACAUCCUCAAGUCCAAUAAAAAUUAUACUUUUCUUGCUAAAUGCCUCACAUAAUAAAAAUAAUGAUCUCAAUGUCUUUUUGUUUGCUGUGUACACGUGCAGUCCAGGCAGGAGUACAUCAAAGGCGUGAGGGUGAAAGAGACUCUUCUGUUGUUUGCUUCAGAAAGAUCCUCAAACAAUAGUCUUCACAGCAUUGCAUUGCAGAUUACAAUUUUACUGCCUCUACCUGUCUGCACACGUGCGGAGGUUUUAUAACAGUUAACAAUUGUUAGGAAAGUAAAAGAGCUACCUUCUUCAAAAAUGGUGUGGAGAGAAAACUACCACCAAACAAACUCUAUUAAGGCCAUUACUAAAUCACUCUGUAUCACAUUUCUUACCAUCAACACUCUAAAACCAGCUGGAAAAGGUGGCCCAUAGCCCACCACUGGCAACUUUUUUGUUUAAAAUUUUUUUAUUGUUCUAAA